rnacentral:rRNA from 1 species
GAUAAACGCUAGCGGCAGGCUUAACACAUGCAAGUCGAGGGGCAGCAUAGAUUGUAGCAAUACAAUUGGUGGCGACCGGCGCACGGGUGCGUAACGCGUAUGCAACCUACCCGUCACAGGGGGAUAAUCCGGAGAAAUCUGGUCUAAUACCCCAUAACAUAUGGAUCGGCAUCGGUUCAUGUUGAAAUUUUCGGAGGUGACGGCUGGGCAUGCGUAGCAUUAGCUUGUUGGUGCGGUACCGGCUCACCAAGGCGACGAGGCUUAGGGGGACUGAGAGGUUUUCCCCCCACACUGGUACUGAGACACGGACCAGACUCCUACGGGAGGCAGCAGUGAGGAAUAUUGGUCAAUGGGCGCAAGCCUGAACCAGCCAUGCCGCGUGCAGGAUGACGGCUCUAUGAGUUGUAAACUGCUUUUGUACGAGGGUAAAGUGGGUUACGUGUAACCUUUUGUAAGUAUCGUACGAAUAAGGAUCGGCUAACUCCGUGCCAGCCGCCGCGGUAA